CUACGUGGGGCUGCAGUGGGGAAUAUUGCUCAAUGGGCGCAAGCCUGAUGCAGCAACGCCGCGUGAGGGAUGAAGGCCUUCGGGUUGUAAACCUCUUUUAGCAGGGAAGAAGCGAAAGUGACGGUACCUGCAGAAAAAGCACCGGCUAACUACGUGCCAGCAGCCGCGGUAAUACGUAGGGUGCAAGCGUUGUCCGGAAUUAUUGGGCGUAAAGAGCUCGUAGGCGGUUUGUCACGUCUGCUGUGAAAAUCCAAGGCUCAACCUUGGACUUGCAGUGGGUACGGGCAGGCUAGAGUGCGGUAGGGGAGAUGGGAAUUCCUGGUGUAGCGGUGGAAUGCGCAGAUAUCAGGAGGAACACCAAUGGCGAAGGCACAUCUCUGGGCCGUAACUGACGCUGAGGAGCGAAAGCGUGGGGAGCGAACAGGAUUAGAUACCCUUGUAGUC
rnacentral:rRNA from 1 species